rnacentral:lncRNA from 1 species
CUGGCGCAUGAAUUGUUCACUGGGAUGCUCCUCCCGAUCGAUGCAAACAAGCUGCUGGCCUCAUCACAUGGGGUCAUAAGGAAAAAAAUUGUGGAAUGCUUCAUCCAGGUAAGUUGAAGCUCCUGCAGUGUUUUAUUUAUUCUAAGCAUAUGCUUGUGAUAUUAUUGAUAAGAGGCUCUUUCUUUAAUAGCUCACCCAUUAUCUGAUGGGUAUAUGGAGC